rnacentral:misc_RNA from 1 species
UCCGAGUUGUCCCCGGCAGUCUCCUAUGAAUCCCCGGCUUGAACCGCUGGCAACAUAGGACAAGGGUUGCGCUCGUUGCGGGACUUAACCCAACAUCUCACGACACGAGCUGACGACAGCCAUGCAACACCUGUGUAGGGCCCUUGCGGACACCGUGUCUCCACGGCUUUUCCCUACAUGUCAAGCCUUGGUAAGGUGGGGAUGACGUGGGGAAUGUCGAUA